GGGUGGUGACUUAGUGGUAGAGUACUUGCCUAGCAUGCACUAGGUCCUGGGUUCUAUCCCCAGUACCCA
rfam:Mesocricetus auratus contig060036, whole genome shotgun sequence.